AGAGUUUGAUCCGGGCUCAGGACGAACGCUGGCGGCGUGCCUAAUACAUGCAAGUCGAACGCUUUUUCUUUCACCGGAGCUUGCUCCACCGAAAGAAAAAGAGUGGCGAACGGGUGAGUAACACGUGGGUAACCUGCCCAUCAGAAGGGGAUAACACUUGGAAACAGGUGCUAAUACCGUAUAACACUAUUUUCCGCAUGGAAGAAAGUUGAAAGGCGCUUUUGCGUCACUGAUGGAUGGACCCGCGGUGCAUUAGCUAGUUGGUGAGGUAACGGCUCACCAAGGCAACGAUGCAUAGCCGACCUGAGAGGGUGAUCGGCCACACUGGGACUGAGACACGGCCCAGACUCCUACGGGAGGCAGCAGUAGGGAAUCUUCGGCAAUGGACGAAAGUCUGACCGAGCAACGCCGCGUGAGUGAAGAAGGUUUUCGGAUCGUAAAACUCUGUUGUUAGAGAAGAACAUGGAUGAGAGUAGAACGUUCAUCCCUUGACGGUAUCUAACCAGAAAGCCACGGCUAACUACGUGCCAGCAGCCGCGGUAAUACGUAGGUGGCAAGCGUUGUCCGGAUUUAUUGGGCGUAAAGCGAGCGCAGGCGGUUUCUUAAGUCUGAUGUGAAAGCCCCCGGCUCAACCGGGGAGGGUCAUUGGAAACUGGGAGACUUGAGUGCAGAAGAGGAGAGUGGAAUUCCAUGUGUAGCGGUGAAAUGCGUAGAUAUAUGGAGGAACACCAGUGGCGAAGGCGGCUCUCUGGUCUGUAACUGACGCUGAGGCUCGAAAGCGUGGGGAGCGAACAGGAUUAGAUACCCUGGUAGUCCACGCCGUAAACGAUGAGUGCUAAGUGUUGGAGGGUUUCCGCCCUUCAGUGCUGCAGCAAACGCAUUAAGCACUCCGCCUGGGGAGUACGACCGCAAGU
rnacentral:rRNA from 1 species